AUGAACGCUGGCGGCAGGCCUAACACAUGCAAGUCGAGCGGAAACGACAACAUUGACUCUUCGGAUGAUUUGUUGGGCGUCGAGCGGCGGACGGGUGAGUAAUGCUUAGGAAUUUGCCCAGUCGAGGGGGACAACAGUUGGAAACGACUGCUAAUACCGCAUACGCCCUNCGGGGGAAAGCAGGGGACCUUCGGGCCUUGCGCGAUUGGAUAAGCCUAAGUGAGAUUAGCUAGUUGGUGAGGUAAUGGCUCACCAAGGCGACGAUCUCUAGCUGGUCUGAGAGGAUGAUCAGCCACACUGGAACUGAGACACGGUCCAGACUCCUACGGGAGGCAGCAGUGGGGAAUAUUGCACAAUGGGCGAAAGCCUGAUGCAGCCAUGCCGCGUGUAUGAAGAAGGCCUUCGGGUUGUAAAGUACUUUCAGCAGUGAGGAAGGGUNUGUAGUUAAUAGCUGCAUAUCUUGACGUUAGCUGCAGAAGA
rnacentral:rRNA from 1 species